GUGGCGGCAGGGUGGCCCCUCCCUCCCGAAGCGCCGGGCUCAGGUUGUUCUUGGAAACCAGAAGCCUCUAGUUCUUCUUUCUGCCCGGAUGGGACCUGGCCAGGGAGCGUCAUGAAUUUCUGCCGGGAGGCGUGGACGUGGGACUUCGCUGCUUCUUUUUAACGCCAGAGGAGUGGGGGGCGCGACGCCAAAAGCCGGCGAGGCGGGAGCGAGCCCCUCUCUCCAAAGCAGCGCCUAAGCGAGCACCGCCGCGGCUCCUUCCGUGGGGCUGUUUGCUUUCGUUUCCACGGGGUUUCGGUGUAAACCGAGCAAAGAUCCUAUAGUUGACUUGCUCUACAGAAUAAAAUGAACAAGAUGAAAACGUUCAAGCGCCGCUUUUCGCUUUCAGUUCCCAGGACAGAGACUAUUGAGGAAUCCCUGGCAGAAUUUACAGAGCAGUUCAAUCAGCUCAACAACAGGAAAAAUGAAGAUAUGGCACAAGGACAUUUACAUCUGGCUCACCUGAAUAGGGAUAUCCGAAUGCAGCCCAGUUCUGCCUCACCUUUGGAAGGCCGGUCCCCGACUUCUGUACAUUACCGAAAUGGCAAUCAACGCCGCUUUUCUAUGGAGGAUGUCAGUAAGCGUCUCUCUCUGCCCAUGGAUAUUCGCCUACCCCCAGAAUUCCUCCAAAAACUAGAAAUGGAAAAUCCAGAGAUUUCUAAGCCUCUCAGCAGAAUGUCACGGCGGGCAUCUCUGUCAGACAUUGGGUUUGGCAAGAUGGAAACUUAUGUUAAACUGGAAAAGUUGGGGGAGGGCACUUAUGCUACUGUAUUUAAAGGACGCAGCAAACUCACUAAGAAUCUUGUGGCGCUGAAGGAGAUCAGGUUAGAGCAUGAAGAAGGGGCACCUUGCACAGCUAUACGGGAAGUUUCCUUACUGAAGAAUCUAAAACAUGCCAACAUUGUGACUCUCCACGAUAUCAUUCACACAAAAUGCUCCCUCACUCUCGUUUUUGAAUAUCUGGAUAGUGACCUGAAACAGUACCUGGAUAACUGUGGGAAUCUGAUGAGCAUGUACAAUGUGAAGAUUUUCAUGUUCCAGCUGCUUCGUGGUUUGUCCUACUGCCAUCAGCAUAAGAUCCUACACAGAGAUCUCAAGCCACAGAAUCUGCUUAUUAAUGGAAAAGGAGAACUAAAACUCGCUGACUUUGGUCUAGCCAGAGCCAAGUCUGUCCCAACAAAGACAUAUUCCAAUGAAGUGGUCACAUUAUGGUACCGACCUCCUGAUGUCCUACUAGGAUCUACUGAAUAUUCCACUCCCAUAGACAUGUGGGGCGUGGGUUGCAUACACUAUGAAAUGGUCACAGGACGUCCAAUGUUCCCAGGAUCCACUGUGAAAGAAGAACUUAAUUUAAUAUUCAGAAUGUUGGGAACUCCUACAGAAGAAUCUUGGCCAGGAAUCACAUCCAAUGAGGAGUUCAAAACUUACCAGUUCACACAAUAUCGAGCCCAACCUUUGAUAAAUCAUGUACCCAGGCUAGACACAGAAGGCAUUGACCUUUUGACAAGUCUCCUCCUGUAUGAAGCCAAACAGCGUAUCUCUGCUGAAUCAGCUCUACGACAUCCCUACUUUAUGAUCCUAGAUGAACGAGUCCACCUCCUUCCUGAGACUGCCUCCAUCUUCUCUUUGAAGGAAAUUCAACUUCAAAAGGACCCUGGCUGCCGAGGCUCAAGUUUCCAGCAUGUUGCUCGAGGAAAGAAUAGGAGGCAAAGCAUAUUUUAAGCCUCUUUGUUCAUUCUUCCAAUCACUGAGAAGAUGGAAGCACUGAGAAGAGAGCAGACCGCUGGAUCCCAGAUAGUCCAUCUGAGAAAAAUAAGGGUACUGUACAUGAGCUGCCUUGCAAUCAGCUAUUUCAUCUACCCUACAUGAGCUGCCUUGCAAUCAGCUAUUUCUCAAAAUCCCACCUCUUUCUCGAAUGAGAAAGGAAAAGAGAGACAUUGUAAAGCCUCAGCCAGCUCCCAUUCUUCGUACAGCUGUUGGAAUAUACCACCUGGGCAAGAAUCUGCAUCAGAUGAAAAAAGGUGAAAGAAAUCGUGAACAAACACCAACUGUUUCCAGGUGGAAUACAACAUAUUCUAGAUAUAUUCCUCCUCUUAAAAUGUCAUGAAUGAGCCAGGGCAAUUGCACAAUAAAAGCCUUGCUUCAAAGCA